rnacentral:rRNA from 1 species
AGUAUUUUGACUAUACAAAGGUAUUGAAAUAAGACUUUAAUUGAGUGCUAAGAGAAUGGAAUUUCAUAAAAUUUCUUUUUUAAUUUUAAAAAUUGAAAUUAAUUUUAUAUGUGAAGAAACAAUAAUAAAAAUUAAGGACAAGAAGACCCUAAGAAUUUUAAAAAUUUCAAUAAAAUGCUGCAUUUUAUUGAAAUUUUUUAAUUGGGGCGAUUAUUAAAUAUUAAAAACUUUAAUUUUUUAAAAAAGAACCAAUAAUAUUGGUUAUUUGAAAAAAUACUCUAGGGAUAACAGCGUAAUAAUUUUUGAUAGUUCUUAUAGACAAAAUAGUUUGCGACCUCGAUGUUGGAUUAGGAUUCUUUUUUAAUGAAGAAGUUAAAAAAAGAAGUUUGUUCAACUUUUAAAAUCCUA